GAUGAACGCUGGCGGCGUGCUUAACACAUGCAAGUCGAACGGGAAUUAUUUUAUUGAAACUUCGGUCGAUUUAAUUUAAUUCUAGUGGCGGACGGGUGAGUAACGCGUGGGUAACCUGCCUUAUACAGGGGGAUAACAGUCAGAAAUGGCUGCUAAUACCGCAUCAGCGCACAGAGCUGCAUGGCUCAGUGUGAAAAACUCCGGUGGUAUAAGAUGGACCCGCGUUGGAUUAGCUGGUUGGUGGGGUAACGGCCCACCAAGGCGACGAUCCAUAGCCGGCCUGAGAGGGUGAACGGCCACAUUGGGACUGAGACACGGCCCAGACUCCUACGGGAGGCAGCAGUGGGGAAUAUUGCACAAUGGGGGAAACCCUGAUGCAGCGACGCCGCGUGAAGGAAGAAGUAUCUCGGUAUGUAAACUUCUAUCAGCAGGGAAGAUAGUGACGGUACCUGACUAAGAAGCCCCGGCUAACUACGUG
rnacentral:rRNA from 1 species